UACGUAGGGUGCGAGCGUUGUCCGGAUUUAUUGGGCGUAAAGAGCUCGUAGGCGGUUUGUCGCGUCGGCCGUGAAAUCUCCACGCUUAACGUGGAGCGUGCGGUCGAUACGGGCGGACUUGAGUUCGGUAGGGGAGACUGGAAUUCCUGGUGUAGCGGUGAAAUGCGCAGAUAUCAGGAGGAACACCGGUGGCGAAGGCGGAUCUCUGGGCCUUGCCUGACGCUGAGGCGCGAAAGCUAGGGGGGCGAACAGG
rnacentral:rRNA from 1 species